UCGUACGCUAGGCUAUAAUUUAUGAAACUGAGCCCCAGAUCCAGCCAAUCGUUUAGCUCCUCAUAACAAGUCUAACUGGCUCGGGCAAGCUGAAAGGGCUGCGCUAGAACAGCAUAGAUGAGAUAUUUCGCACAAUAAUCUGCUGAUCUGGGAUCGCUUUCCCUCACGAGGCCAGAGAAAAAUCACAGCUUCGUUGUCUGGAGGAAGGACAGGUGACCUGGGAAUAGAUGGCAACACCUGGGGCAA
rfam:Loxodonta africana unplaced genomic scaffold scaffold_7, whole genome shotgun sequence.